rnacentral:rRNA from 1 species
GUGGGGAAUCUUGCGCAAUGGGCGAAAGCCUGACGCAGCCAUGCCGCGUGAAUGAUGAAGGUCUUAGGAUUGUAAAAUUCUUUCACCGGGGACGAUAAUGACGGUACCCGGAGAAGAAGCUCCGGCUAACUUCGUGCCAGCAGCCGCGGUAAUACGAAGGGGGCUAGCGUUGCUCGGAAUUACUGGGCGUAAAGGGCGCGUAGGCGGACAGCUUAGUCAGAGGUGAAAGCCCAGGGCUCAACCUUGGAAUUGCCUUUGAUACUGGCUGUCUUGAGUUUGGGAGAGGUGAGUGGAACUCCGAGUGUAGAGGUGAAAUUCGUAGAUAUUCGGAGGAACACCAGUGGCGAAGGCGGCUCACUGGUCCAUUACUGACGCUGAGGUGCGAAAGCGUGGGGAGCAAACAGGAUUAGAUACCCCUGUAGUCC